rnacentral:rRNA from 1 species
GUCGAGCGGUAAGGCCCUUCGGGGUACACGAGCGGCGAACGGGUGAGUAACACGUGGGUGAUCUGCCCUGCACUUCGGGAUAAGCCUGGGAAACUGGGUCUAAUACCGGAUAUGACCUUCGGCUGCAUGGCUGAGGGUGGAAAGGUUUACUGGUGCAGGAUGGGCCCGCGGCCUAUCAGCUUGUUGGUGGGGUAAUGGCCUACCAAGGCGACGACGGGUAGCCGACCUGAGAGGGUGACCGGCCACACUGGGACUGAGACACGGCCCAGACUCCUACGGGAGGCAGCAGUGGGGAAUAUUGCACAAUGGGCGAAAGCCUGAUGCAGCGACGCCGCGUGAGGGAUGACGGCCUUCGGGUUGUAAACCUCUUUCAGCAGGGACGAAGCGAAAGUGACGGUACCUGCAGAAGAAGCACCGGCCAACUACGUGCCAGCAGCCGCGGUAAUACGUAGGGUGCAAGCGUUGUCCGGAAUUACUGGGCGUAAAGAGCUCGUAGGCGGUUUGUCGCGUCGUCUGUGAAAACUCGAGGCUCAACCUCGAGCUUGCAGGCGAUACGGGCAGACUUGAGUACUGCAGGGGAGACUGGAAUUCCUGGUGUAGCGGUGAAAUGCGCAGAUAUCAGGAGGAACACCGGUGGCGAAGGCGGGUCUCUGGGCAGUAACUGACGCUGAGGAGCGAAAGCGUGGGUAGCGAACAGGAUUAGAUACCCUGGUAGUCCACGCCGUAAACGGUGGGCGCUAGGUGU